rnacentral:SRP_RNA from 1 species
CUCGGCCUUUCGCGGUUUUAACACCCAAACCUGGUCAGGAUCGGAAGGUAGCAGCCACAAGGGAUGCUUGAGGCAGGCGAG